rnacentral:rRNA from 1 species
GUGCCUACGGGGCGCAGCAGCCGCGGUAAUACGGAGGAUGCGAGCGUUAUCCGGAUUUAUUGGGUUUAAAGGGUGCGUAGGCGGGCUUUUAAGUCAGCGGUAAAAAUUCGGGGCUCAACCACGUCCGGCCGUUGAAACUGGGGGCCUUGAGUGGGCGAGAAGAAGGCGGAAUGCGUGGUGUAGCGGUGAAAUGCAUAGAUAUCACGCAGAACCCCGAUUGCGAAGGCAGCCUUCCGGCGCCCUACUGACGCUGAGGCACGAAAGUGCGGGGAUCGAACAGGAUUAGAUACCCGUGUAGUCCUAGA